CCCACUCCCGCACCAGCCGUCACACAAACCCUAGCCUUGUUUUCCCUCGAUCCCCACAGCCUCCCGCUCCCCUCCUCCAUCCCCCUCCUCGCGUCACCACGGCCUCUGCCCUGGAGCCCCACCGCCGCCUCUCCUCCACCCCCUCCUUGCGUCGCCACGGCCUCCACCCUAGAGUCCCGCCGUCGCCUGCUAUUCCUCCUCCACCACGCUAGCCCCUCUACCUCGUCUUCCUUCUCUUCGUUGUUGGAUCCAGAUCGAGCGCGGGUUAGGCGAGCCUGGUGGUGGGGUGAAGGGGCAGGGGAAGAGGAGGUGGGAAACUAGGUGAAGGAGCAGGUCGGCCCUCCUGGAGGCGGCGCCGCCGCCCAACCAGGGAGGAGGCCAGGCUCUCCUCCAGGCUCGCCUCUGCUUUGCCCUGAGCGGCGGCAGCACCUAUGCCUCCACCCCACCUUCUUUUCCAUGCCUCUUCCUUGGCAUGACAGGCAGAUUUUGGGGAUGGGGAGACCCCAUGAAUAAUAAUUCAAGUGGACGGCCGAUGCGCCUUGUUGUUUAGCGGUAUGAUCUAUGAUGGUCGGCGAAAGUAUGUUCUAUAUUGCAAGAUGGUUGCCGCUGAUGUCAAGCCUCUCGAGAUCUGAGAGCCUCCUCCAACUUCCCCUCCCCACCAAGGAUGACGUAGUAACCGCAUGCAGAAUUACCUACAACUUGAGUAGAUGCACAUUAUUCACUUCAUAUUCCAAUGGUUUUACUUCCACAUCACAGGUUUGUUUAUAUUAAAUCACAGAAAUUCAUGAGCUUGCUUGGUUACUAUGGAGAAGGGCAUUCUUUCAAGGAGCUGUAAGUUUUUUGAAUAUGCUCCUUAUUGGACACUUUUUUUGGUAUGUACAGGAUUUGUUGAGAAUGGGUGUGAGAAAAUUAACCAUUCGGUGGAUUUAUAUGCAUGGUACUCAGACAUAGUGAAAGCAAAGACUGAAAGGUUUCGAUUUAGAUGAUUUGGAGGUGCCUUGUCCAUCUUCUUAUCUCCAGGUCAAAAUUAAGCAGAUGUUUUAUUGCUAAAGGACAUGCUCUUACUAUCUGAGAUGGAUGAUGAUGCGCGGUACAACCAAAAAUUCUGAGUUGGGCUUUACACACUUCAGUGGGCAAAUUGGAAUGCAAGAGUAGCAUCACAACACGGGGGUGGAGACCUGAAGUGAAGCAGAGGGGCGGCGAACAAAGGAAAUCAGAGUCGUGCUAGAUGUGAACAAUGUCGCAGAUACUCGGACUGGUAGCCAAGAUGAUUAUUCUCAAUAACAGUGCAGAUUUGAUCCUUCCGUAGAUACUGUCUGAGUUGCGAUGCUCUCCAUCAUGCACACGUGGUAUCAUUUUGGGAAGUGAACCUAUUUGCCCACCUGAUUGCUUUCAGUACAAGGGAACAGUUGAUGUAUUCUUGAAAGUUGUUAGACAGGAAGGAUUUGGUAGAUUAUGGAGAGGUACAAAUGCUGGCUUGGCAUUAGCUAUACCAACUGUGGGUCUCUUGCUCUGUCACACUGCAUUUUGUUGUGCUUUUUGUUGCGUUUUAUUUAAAAAAUCUUCUGUGAAAUCUGUAUAAUCAUAUUAGUAGCUCCAACCUCUCAGGUAUGUGUGGAGUAGGCACUAGCUUGCGCUUCUCCAUGUCAUUUGUACCUGUUUUUCAGGAAUAAAUUCGAUGUUUUUACAGAUCUACUGAUACAUUUAUAACUCAUCUUAAUAGAAGAAGCCAUAUAUGAAAUCAGAACAUUUUUCUAUUUAAAUAUAUCCAAAGGAUGAUAAUUGGUCGUGUCAAGAUGAGUGCACGAGAAGGAUUGUGAAAAAGAAAGGUUGAUCAUCUGGGUUUUAAAGAAGAAACUAAGCUAAAUUAAGGUUCCUGGUUACAGCACGCACAAUUUGGUGUCCUGAUAUCCUCUGUGUAUCCUCUUGAAGGAGGAUUGGGUGAGAUUGUUGUUGCGACAAGAAUUGGUACUAGGCUGGGUGAUACAAUAAUAGAUUUCAUCCAAGGAAUAACCAAUUUAAAUGUUCUGUUUCUUUGAUGUUUACUCAUUUCUCUUA